rnacentral:pre_miRNA from 1 species
UUAACUCGAAUUUGUAUGGAGUUGGAACGUUUGCCUACGUUUGCCGCUAGGGGCGCUAUUCCAACUGCAUACAAAUUUCAGGUA